rnacentral:rRNA from 1 species
UACGAAGGGGGCUAGCGUUGCUCGGAAUGACUGGGCGUAAAGGGCGCGUAGGCGGUUCGUACAGUCAGACGUGAAAUUCCCGGGCUCAACCUGGGGACUGCGUUUGAUACGUGCGGGCUUGAGUCCGGAAGAGGCAAGUGGAAUUCCCGGUGUAGCGGUGAAAUGCGCAGAUAUCGGGAGGAACACCAAUGGCGAAGGCAGCUUGCUGGGACGGUACUGACGCUGAGACGCGAAAGCGUGGGGAGCAAACAGG